CGUGGGUAAUUUACCUUCGGGUGGGGAACAACAGCCGGAAACGGCUGCUAAUACCGCAUAAUGCAGCGGCUCCUAAUGGAGACAGUUGUUAAAGCGGGGGAUCGCAAGACCUCGCGCCUGAAGAGAAGCCCGCGGCAGAUUAGCUAGUUGGUAAGGUAAUGGCUUACCAAGGCGACGAUCUGUAACCGGCCUGAGAGGGCGGUCGGUCACACUGACACUGACAUACGGGUCAG
rnacentral:rRNA from 1 species